rnacentral:lncRNA from 1 species
UUCCUUCCUUCAAACUUCACAAAUGCAGUUUUAAUCCCCUCCAAACCACCGCCAGCUGAGACGCCGGGACUGGAGCAACGUGUCGAACAACAUUAAGCCAGCAGGUCUGGAGCAGAAGAGAGUCCCUCUGCCUUUGUCCCAGUGAUGCCGGGCUCAAGGCUGUUUCUGCAGGGCUGCAAUCAAACUCCUUGAAUAACAAUUUAUAAAUACUCUGGGAAGCUUGGAGAAAAGACCUAGACUACAAAAAUUCACUGUUGCAUUCACAACUCAAAGAACAGUGAAACAGAUGGAAAGAGAAGACCUAGUGACAGAGGUGGAGUCCAGAGAAGAGUGAGGAAGGAUAAAACAUUUUGAUCCUCUUUACUUGCUCAGAUCUUUUGCAGUUAAUGAGUCCCCACGCAGCUGGACAGCUCCUCUCGGACACUGAGAACUCUAACCCCAAAAUGACCCCAAUUUGACACCGCAAGAUGAAAUUUUACCGCCUGUUAAAACCAUUUCCAGCCUGGGCAAAAGGAGCUGACUGUUGACGGAGGUGUGUGCCGCCUCCUGCGACCCCCAUCUCGUGCCAGUCUCCUGGGCCUGCCCCACCUACUUUUCCUUCACCCCAAAUGUGGAAGAACAGAGGAGCCUCGCAGCCUGGAUUGGGGGUGCAGAGGCUGAGACUGGAGCAUCAGUAAUCAGGCUAGAAAUCAGAAAGUGUGUGCACCUCCCUGCUUUGGAAUCGCUACUGUUGGACUGGCACAAUUGGACGAGAUUGGCCAAGACCCGACACCCUGAAUCACCUCCAACUUGA